CACGUAGGGCGCAAGCGUUGUCCGGAAUUAUUGGGCGUAAAGAGCUCGUAGGCGGUCUGUUGCGUCUGCUGUGAAAACCCGGGGCUUAACCCCUGGCUUGCAGUGGGUACGGGCAGACUAGAGUGUGGUAGGGGAGACUGGAAUUCCUGGUGUAGCGGUGAAAUGCGCAGAUAUCAGGAGGAACACCGAUGGCGAAGGCAGGUCUCUGGGCCACUACUGACGCUGAGAAGCGAAAGCAUGGGGAGCGAACAGG
rnacentral:rRNA from 1 species